rnacentral:rRNA from 1 species
UACGAAGGGGGCUAGCGUUGUUCGGAAUUACUGGGCGUAAAGCGCACGUAGGCGGACUAUUAAGUCAGGGGUGAAAUCCCGGGGCUCAACCCCGGAACUGCCUUUGAUACUGCUAGUCUCGAGUCCGGAAGAGGUGAGUGGAAUUCCGAGUGUAGAGGUGAAAUUCGUAGAUAUUCGGAGGAACACCCAGUGGCGAAGGCGGCUCACUGGUCCGGUACUGACGCUGAGGUGCGAAAGCGUGGGAGCAACAGG